GCUAAUUUGGCUCAAUGGAUAGAGCAUUGGUCUGAGGACCAAAGGGUCCCAGGUUCAAUUCCAGUCAAUGGCA
rfam:Myotis davidii contig22358, whole genome shotgun sequence.